rnacentral:rRNA from 1 species
GAUGAACGCUGGCGGCGUGCCUAAUACAUGCAAGUAGAACGCUGAAGGAAGGAGCUUGCUCUUUCCGGAUGAGUUGCGAACGGGUGAGUAACGCGUAGGUAACCUGCCUGGUAGCGGGGGAUAACUAUUGGAAACGAUAGCUAAUACCGCAUAACAGUAGAUGUUGCAUGAUAUCUACUUAAAAGGUGCAAUUGCACCACUACCAGAUGGACCUGCGUUGUAUUAGCUAGUUGGUGAGGUAACGGCUCACCAAGGCGACGAUACAUAGCCGACCUGAGAGGGUGAUCGGCCACGCUGGGACGGAGACACGGCCCAGACUCCUACGGGAGGCAGCAGUAGGGAAUCUUCGGCAAUGGACGGAAGUCUGACCGAGCAACGCCGCGUGAGUGAAGAAGGUUUUCGGAUCGUAAAGCUCUGUUGUAAGAGAAGAACGAGUGUGAGAGUGGAAAGUUCACACUGUGACGGUAUCUGACCAGAAAGGGACGGCUAACUACGUG